rnacentral:rRNA from 1 species
UACGUAGGGUGCAAGCGUUGUCCGGAAUCAUUGGGCGUAAAGAGCGUGUAGGCGGUUCGAUCAGUCCGCUGUGAAAGUCCAGGGCUCAACCCUGGGAUGCCGGUGGAUACUGUCAGACUAGAGUCCGGAAGGGGCGAGUGGAAUUCCUGGUGUAGCGGUGAAAUGCGCAGAUAUCAGGAGGAACACCGAUGGCGAAGGCAGCUCGCUGGGACGGUACUGACGCUGAGACGCGAAAGCGUGGGGAGCAAACAGG